rnacentral:rRNA from 1 species
GAUGAACGCUGGCGGCGUGCCUAAUACAUGCAAGUCGAGCGAACAGACGAGGAUCUUUCUCCUCUGACGUUAGCGGCGGACGGGUGAUUAACACUUGGAUAACCUACCUCUAAGACUGGUAUACCUUCGGGAAACCGGCGCUAAUACCGGAUAAUUUAUUGCACCUCAUGGUUCAAUCGUCAAAUACGGUUUUUCUGUCACUUAUAGAUGGAUCCGCGCCGCAUUAGCUAGUUGGUAAGGUAACGGCUUACCAAGGCAACGAUGCGUAGCCGACCUGAGCGGGUGAUCGGCCACACUGGAACUGAGACACGGUACAGACUCCUACGGGAGGAAGCAGUAGGGAAUCUUACGCAAUGGGCGAAAGCCUGACGGAGCAAAGCGGCGGGAGUGAUGAAGGUGUUAGGAUCGUAAAACUCUGUUAUUAGGGAAGAACAAAUGUGUAAGUAACUAGGAACGUAUUGACGGUACCUAAUCAGAAAGCCACGGCUAACUACGUG